UACACUUGAUAAAUUUUAUUCCUCAGUUUCGUGAAAGCAAAACUCACACACUUAGUGAAAUUUUUGUCCCUCCAAAACUCACACUUAGCCUUCAUCUCAACCCCUUUCAGAAACCCUGUCACCAUCGAAGAAACCCUUCAAACCUCACCAUCGCGAAGAAACCCUCUCGCUACAGAAACACUCUCACUCACCACUCACCGUCGCUCCUCUUCACCCUCCUCCUUGUCGCUGCGCCGCCCUCACCAUCCUCAUCUCUGCGCUUCUCAUCGUCCUUCCCCUUUCAAUUCGAUUGAGUAACCCUCAUUUCUGCGCUAUAUACUGAGCUUAAUGAAUAUUUUUUCUUUGAUUCGUCACCAAUUCACGCUACCUGCACAAACUCGCACGCCAUCUCCUUCGAUUCGUCGCCACUGCUCAUCUCUUCUUCAAGGGUUUUCACCUUCGAUUCGUCGUCGCUCAUCUCUUCUUCACCGUUGCCAUUCAUCACCGCGCUCACCAAUGUCAAAAAAACUGUGUGCUCUCUAGCAACCUCUUCUCUGCUCUACUGUGAAGCAUCAAGGUUUCCAAUGAGGCAAAGCAUCGAUCCCUUACAAGCGAGGUAACCAGCAAUGAGACCAGUUUGAUGGCUCGAUGUCGUAGUAACAUCCCUUAUCUCUUUAUAUGGUUUAGUGAUUUUAGUAACUCGUAAUUUUCAUUUUCCAUUUCUCCUUCUUCUUCUUAAUUCUCUUGUAUAACCAACCCAAACCUUGAUGAUCUUGGUUGCUAUAGUCUCAUAGGUGAUGUUGGAAUAGUUUUGUUUUUCUAUGAUAAUUUACUGAGAGUUAAAAUUUGUCCAAUUUCUGGAGAUAAUAAAUUUAUUUAAGGGUUAAUGCAGAUAAUUAACUGAAGUGCUGAAGCCAAUUUAUAUCCUGGUGCAAUAACUUCGACACUUCAAAUUACAGAGGUAAUUGGAUACUUACUUUCUCCUUGCUCACAUGUGCUCUAUCAAGCUUAAAGAAUGGACGCUUGUCCUGCUUACUCUGUUAAGAAGUUCUAAGGUGUUUUUUGACUUAUUCAGACAUGAUGUUCGGCUGUGAAAAGCAUGCAGCACCACACUGCAGUUCCUUGUAUCUGUCCAUUGUAGACUCAUUCAAGAUUUAUUGGAAGAGAAAAACUUUGCAACGAUGGAAGAUAUAUGAAGGUGAAUGCAGACUUCAUCUUUGCUCGAUGUACAUCAUAUUUUCUUGCUGACAAAGUUAUAUGUUCGAGUGGUUUCCUUCACGUGGAUCUACUUGAAAGAUCUGAUGGGUUUUAUUCAAACAUAUGGACCAUGGUUAACCAUGGUUUUCAUCACAAGUCAU